rnacentral:rRNA from 1 species
AACACAUGCAAGUCGAGCGGUAACAUGUUUAGUAGCAAUACUAAAUGAUGACGAGCGGCGGACGGGUGAGGAACACGUAGGAACCUGCCCUUCAGAGGGGGAUAACCAAGGGAAACUUUGGCUAAUACCGCGUAAGCUCUGAGGAGGAAAGCUGCCGCAAGGUGGCGCUGAAGGAGGGGCCUGCGUCCGAUUAGCUAGUUGGUGGGGUAAGAGCCUACCAAGGCUAUGAUCGGUAACUGGUCUGAGAGGACGACCAGUCACACUGGGACUGAGACACGGCCCAGACUCCUACGGGAGGCAGCAGUGGGGAAUCUUGGACAAUGGGGGAAACCCUGAUCCAGCGAUGCCGCGUGGGUGAAGAAGGCCUUCGGGUUGUAAAGCCCUUUAGGUUGGGAAGAAGGUUAUUAGGGGAUAAUCCUAGUAAUUUGACGGUACCAACAGAAUAAGCACCGGCAAACUCUGUGCCAGCAGCCGCCGUAA